rnacentral:rRNA from 1 species
GUGUCAGCCGCCGCGGUAAUACGGAGGGUCCGAGCGUUAUCCGGAAUCAUUGGGUUUAAAGGGUCCGUAGGCGGGCGUCUAAGUCAGUGGUGAAAUUCUGCAGCUCAACUGUAGGACUGCCAUUGAUACUGGUCGCCUUGAAUUAGUGUGAAGUGGCUAGAAUAUGUAGUGUAGCGGUGAAAUGCUUAGAUAUUACAUAGAAUACCGAUUGCGAAGGCAGGUCACUAACACUAUAUUGACGCUGAUGGACGAAAGCGUGGGGAGCGAACAGGAUUAGAUACCCUGGUAGUCCACGCCGUAAACGAUGGAUACUAGCUGUCCGGCCUGCAUUGGUAGGCUGGGUGGCCAAGCGAAAGUGAUAAGUAUCCCACCUGGGGAGUACGUUCGCAAGAAUGAAACUCAAAGGAAUUGACGGGGGCCCGCACAAGCGGUGGAGCAUGUGGUUUAAUUCGAUGAUACGCGAGGAACCUUACCAGGGCUUAAAUGUAGUCUGACAGGGGUGGAAACACCCCCUUCUUCGGACAGACUGCAAGGUGCUGCAUGGUUGUCGUCAGCUCGUGCCGUGAGGUGUCAGGUUAAGUCCUAUAACGAGCGCAACCCCUGUCGUUAGUUGCCAGCAUGUAAAGAUGGGAACUCUACCGAGACUGCCGGUGCAAACCGUGAGGAAGGUGGGGAUGACGUCAAAUCAUCACGGCCCUUACGUCCUGGGCCACACACGUGCUACAAUGGCAGGUACAAUGGGCAGCCACUGCGCAAGCAGGAGCGAAUCCACAAAACCUGUCUCAGUUCGGAUCGGGGUCUGCAACUCGACCCCGUGAAGCUGGAAUCGCUAGUAAUCGGAUAUCAGCCAUGAUCCGGUGAAUACGUUCCCGGGCCUUGCACACACCGCCCGUC